UACAGGGGGUGCAAACGUUGCUCGGAAUCAUUGGGCGUAAAGCGCACGUAGGCGGUUCGUUAUGUCGGAUGUGAAAGCCCUUGGCUUAACCGAGGAAGUGCAUCCGAAACUGGCGAGCUAGAGUACUAAAGAGGAUCGCGGAAUUCCCGGUGUAGAGGUGAAAUUCGUAGAUAUCGGGAGGAACACCGGUGGCGAAGGCGGCGACCUGGGUAGAUACUGACGCUGAGGCGCGAAAGCGUGGGGAGCAAACAGG
rnacentral:rRNA from 1 species